GCGUCUGCGGAGGAUGCAGCCUGUUCCUGAAAACGGUUUUGCAGACAACCGGAACAAGUACCAUCCUGUAUCACAAGCACAGCUUGUUUCAAAGCC
rnacentral:sRNA from 1 species